ensembl:misc_RNA Y_RNA Y RNA
GGCUGGUCCGAUGGCAGUGGGUUAUCAGAACUUAUUAACAUUAGUGUCACUAAAGUUGGUAUACCACCCCCCCCACUGCUAAAUUUGACUGGCUUUUA